rnacentral:rRNA from 1 species
UACGUAGGGUGCGAGCGUUGUCCGGAAUUAUUGGGCGUAAAGGGCUCGUAGGCGGUUUGUCGCGUCGGGAGUGAAAACACCGGGCUUAACUCGGUGCUUGCUUUCGAUACGGGCAGACUAGAGGCAUGCAGGGGAGAACGGAAUUCCAGGUGUAGCGGUGAAAUGCUUAGAUAUCUGGAGGAACACCGGUGGCGAAGGCGGCAUCCUGGACCAACACUGACACUGAGGAGCGAAAGCCAGGGGAGCAAACGGG